rnacentral:miRNA from 1 species
CUCUCUUCACGGCUUC